rnacentral:misc_RNA from 1 species
ACAAAAGGGUAAAAGCUC